UACGGAGGGUGCAAGCGUUAUCCGGAUUCACUGGGUUUAAAGGGUGCGUAGGCGGGCCGGUAAGUCAGUGGUGAAAUCCUGGGGCUUAACCCCAGAACUGCCGUUGAUACUAUCAGUCUUGAAUGUUGUGGAGGUGAGCGGAAUAUGUCAUGUAGCGGUGAAAUGCUUAGAGAUGACAUAGAACACCAAUUGCGAAGGCAGCUCACUACGCAACGAUUGACGCUGAGGCACGAAAGCGUGGGGAUCAAACAGG
rnacentral:rRNA from 1 species